rnacentral:lncRNA from 1 species
GGAACCUCUUCCUCCACCUGCCCCUGUCUACAAGGAACCUCUUCCUCCACCUGUUCCAAAGCCACUUCCACCCCCAGUUCCAGAAGAGAAACCACUUCCACCACCAGUUCCAGUCAAGAAGCCAUGUCCACCACCAGUUCCAGAAAAGAAACCCCUUCCUCCUCCUGUUCCAAAGCCACUUCCACCACCAGUUCCAGUCAUGAAGCCAUGCCCACCACCAGUUCCAGAAAAGAAACCCCUUCCUCCUCCUGUUCCAAAGCCACUUCCACCACCAGUUCCAGUCAUGAAGUCAUGCCCACCACCAGUUCCAGAAAAGAAACCCCUUCCUCCUCCUGUUCCAAAGCCACUUCGACCACCAGUUCCAGUAGUAAAGAAGCCAUGCCCACCCCCUCUUCCACCAGUGAAGC